rfam:Trichoderma virens Gv29-8 TRIVIscaffold_5, whole genome shotgun sequence.
CAAUAUGAUGAUCAAUUUCAAACUAUAUACGCUGGAAAUUACCGGCUGAGGUCUCCUUUGACGAUAUUCUUAGGCUAUAACUGAUU